UGGGGAAUAUUGCACAAUGGGCGAAAGCCUGAUGCAGCAACGCCGCGUGAGUGAUGAAGGCCUUCGGGUUGUAAAGCUCUGUCUUUUGGGACGAUAAUGACGGUACCAAAGGAGGAAGCCACGGCUAACUACGUGCCAGCAGCCGCGGUAAUACGUAGGUGGCAAGCGUUGUCCGGAUUUACUGGGCAUAAAGGAUGCGUAGGCGGAUUCUUAAGUGAGAUGUGAAAUACCCGGGCUUAACUUGGGUGCUGCAUUUCAAACUGGGAAUCUAGAGUGCGGGAGAGGAGAAUGGAAUUCCUAGUGUAGCGGUGAAAUGCGUAGAGAUUAGGAAGAACACCAGUGGCGAAGGCGAUUCUCUGGACCGUAACUGACGCUGAGGCAUGAAAGCGUGGGUAGCAAACAGGAUUAGAUACCCUGGUAGUCCACGCCGUAAACGAUGAGUACUAGGUGUAGGAGGUAUCGACCCCUUCUGUGCCGCAGUUAACACAAUAAGUACUCCGCCUGGGAAGUACGAUCGCAAGAUUAAAACUCAAAGGAA
rnacentral:rRNA from 1 species